rnacentral:lncRNA from 1 species
UGCUGUUUGUUAAACUCCAGCGUGUCUGUUGGCUCCCUGCGGCGCUGGGGAGGCACGUUUGGGGGUGGGUAUAUUUCCUUUUUUUUUUUUUUUUUUUUAAACCCCUGUUUUUCUGUUUAAACGGCCAGCUCCCUGCAAGGAAAAAAAUCUUCUGUGGAGAUCAGAGCGCUGGCCUCGGACCGUUGGAUUGGGCGAGCAUCUUGGGGGUGCUGAGUGUGUGUUGCUGUUCAUGAGUGUGAGUGGCUCCAAGGCUGUGGCCUGUGCAGGAGCUCCGUUCCUGUGAGGGAAGGGAGAGAAGAGGACAGAGGCAAGCUGCCAAUUGUCAGUGUCCUUCAGUUCGGAGCCACCUCUGCUCCAAGUCUUAAGAGGCUCCCCCGAGGCCAUCACCUGGAGGUGAGCAGCCACCCCAGGCUGGAGCAGGAUCUGCUCCAGAGUCCCAAAAGAUUCAUCUUCUAUGUGACUCAUUGUCCUGUGGAGCCAACCCAUUUUACUGAUGAAGGACAUAAUUGUUAACGGACUUUUACUGAAGUGAGCAUUACCUUUUUUCUUAUGCUCCAUGGACAUCUCAUCAAGGACCCUUGAAGUGAGGUUACCAUUCUUAGCUCCCACAGCGAAGAGAUCUCAGGAGACUGGACACUGAAGAAUCUCAUCUUGUAUAAAGACAGACCAAG